rnacentral:rRNA from 1 species
GAAGCUUGCUUCUUUGCUGACGAGUGGCGGACGGGUGAGUAAUGUCUGGGAAACUGCCUGAUGGAGGGGGAUAACUACUGGAAACGGUAGCUAAUACCGCAUAACGUCGCAAGACCAAAGAGGGGGACCUUCGGGCCUCUUGCCAUCGGAUGUGCCCAGAUGGGAUUAGCUAGUAGGUGGGGUAACGGCUCACCUAGGCGACGAUCCCUAGCUGGUCUGAGAGGAUGACCAGCCACACUGGAACUGAGACACGGUCCAGACUCCUACGGGAGGCAGCAGUGGGGAAUAUUGCACAAUGGGCGCAAGCCUGAUGCAGCCAUGCCGCGUGUAUGAAGAAGGCCUUCGGGUUGUAAAGUACUUUCAGCGGGGAGGAAGGGAGUAAAGUUAAUACCUUUGCUCAUUGACGUUACCCGCAGAAGAAGCACCGGCUAACUCCGUGCCAGCAGCCGCGGUAAUACGGAGGGUGCAAGCGUUAAUCGGAAUUACUGGGCGUAAAGCGCACGCAGGCGGUUUGUUAAGUCAGAUGUGAAAUCCCCGGGCUCAACCUGGGAACUGCAUCUGAUACUGGCAAGCUUGAGUCUCGUAGAGGGGGGUAGAAUUCCAGGUGUAGCGGUGAAAUGCGUAGAGAUCUGGAGGAAUACCGGUGGCGAAGGCGGCCCCCUGGACGAAGACUGACGCUCA